AUAUUAUAAUACAACUGAUCAGAUUUAUAUCAUAGAAGAUAGAGAUAAU
rnacentral:guide_RNA from 1 species